CAUAAUAACCAUCAGACCAAAACAUAUCUUAGACUGUUUUUAAAAAAUUUAAAAUUAAUAUAUUGAUAAAAAAAAAAAAAUCAUAUAGUGAAAAUCUGUGUCAUUGUCUUGGCAAGUCUGUAACUGUAACGUUACCUACUUCAGCGAGCGUCUGGAUCUGUGUUGCACACGAGCCUGUAAAAAUCUUACCCGGAUACAGCAAUGCUAUUUUCUGAUUGGCUGAUCGGUAGCUAUAUUUUUUUAUUUGAUUAGCUGGUGCGUGUCGGGGCCUUCGGGGAACUCACUUGAUUCCUCUACCUGUUUCACUGUUUAAAAAAAUAGCGCCGCAACUUGGUGGGCGUUAUCCUCGUAAUGUCUCUGCGUGAGAAAUACAAGGUGUGGCGUGUGAGCGUGUGAACGGAUUGAAAUGCGUGGGUCUCACGCCCAAUGCGUGAGACUUGAGAGCCGUGCUGCUGGUUACCAGAGCACUCGUGUAUUGAUUAUUUUCACCAGCAGAGGGCGCUGUGAGCUACACUGAUUGCUUGGCCAUGUGCUGCUACUUCAUUCCUGAAGAACUGAACCUGGACGACAGCAGGACUCUAUAAUCAUCAAUCCUCAGAAGAGACACCGUUGUCAAUAUAUAAAGAUACUGAAUUUGAUGGAGACACUUUAAUGAACCUAACUAAGACUAUGAAAGCUAAAAUAUUCCCAAAAAAUGAAGGAUGAAGUUAAAUUUAUAAGAUUACAAGAAAACCUAAAUACGGAGAUGCCAGCAAGACCACAGACACCACGAGACUUCCUGUUGAUAUUCAAGACAACAUAUUGCUUGUUUGUAGCAAAAAAAAAAAAAAAAAGCCCUUUGACAGGACAAAGCAAACAAGAUCAAAAACAAUUCAAGGUAUGCAACAGUGAACACAAGUUGUGUUCAGACCUUGUUACCAAAUACCAGUUCUUGAGAGAAAAGACUGGCAAAGGAUGUGCUUAAAAACUAAUUCAAAAAAGAAAGAACACCUUUGAUUAAUGUUGAAGAAAAAAUGACAUUUGCUGCAGGUUCAGCAAAGUAAGAAAACAGAUCAUUUUUCCAGGAGUCCAUAAAAAAUUAUCGCAAUCAUUGUAGAGAUUAAGGAUCUAUCUGGUCAAGAUUUGUAUCAAAAGAGGUCAAGGUCAGUUUGGGUAAGAGUCACAGACAGAGUCUGAAGGCACAAACAGAGAUCAGCGAGAGCCAAAGAAGAGCAGCAGGGGGAAAUAUUGUUACUGAGCUGGAUGAAGAAAAACAAAUCUGUGUUGAUUUGGCACACAAAGGUGUCAGUGGUUGCUGCUGUCCUGCUGUUUCCACUUCUGUUAAAGGAGAGUCUGAGAUCUCUUUAUGUCAUCAGUGAGGAACCAGAUACACCCAACCCUGUGCUGUUUAUAAAGGGACAUGCCUUGGAUGCAGAGUCUCUUUAAGAAAUAAUGAUGGAAGUGAAGGAGGAGGUCUGUGAAGUAGACGAUGUGAACACAGCUCUACUCUUCAACUUCAACACUGAAUAUGCUUCAAAUUUGAGAGAUACCCUGACUUUUACUGAAAACUGUUUAAUGUAUCAACAAAAACCAAUAUGCCACCCACAAUGGCCAAUUAUUAUUAUUUGUUUUAUUAAAUUAAUGUGUAUGUAUAUAAAUGCAUGAUAUUUAUAUUUGUUUAUGUAUGUGUUUGGUAGUUUGUUUAGUAAUACAUAUUUAUGGAUGAUUGUUUAUUUAUUUGUGUUUGUUGGUUUGUUUGUAAUACAUAUUUAUGUAUUAAACAGUUUAUGGAGAAUCAUGGUGUUCUGUGUUUAUAGUGAAAUUGGAUUAGUAAUGUAUAAUAAUAAUAAUAACAACAACAACAAUAAUGUUAUUGCUAUCUAGAAAAGGGUUCAUAAAGGAACUGAUGAGGGUCAUUAAUGCACCUUUAAAUGAAGGUUCCAAUUAGAACCUUUUCAAAAAGGUUCAAAAAUGAACCUUUAAGGUUCCCCCACAGUUGCAAUCUCCAGGAACCUCAAAAGGUUCAUUUUUGAACCUUUUCUUCUAAGAGAGAGCACUUUAGCAUCCUGAAUC